UAAAUGAACUUCACAUAAUUUAGGACAGAGCUCUAGAUUAAGUGCUUCAGUGCUUUAAAAAUGUAAUUUCCAAUCAACAGCAAGUAAUAUUGCUUUAUUUUUGGGGUGUGGAGAAGUAAGCUAAUAGUGAAGUUAGAAUUUUGUAGGUCAGUAAUUUCAAUGUAUAAAUAUUACUGUGAUUAUGUAGCUAUUGAUAAACUAAUUAAAAAUACAAGAAGUACAGAACUUCAUCAUACUUAUAAUGAGAUGUUACGGCACUGAAAAGAACAGAGAAGGAAGUGACUUUGUCUUGUAUUGAUCUCAUGUCUCUGUGACAUUCUAGGAUUGUGAAUGGAAAUUAAAACAAUAUUUUGAAAAGAUUUUUCUCUUCCUUGUAAUUACUUUGAGGAUGUUUUAAAUGCAGCAAGGAUUCAGUUGUAGCAUUUGCCAAAGAAAUAUCAUGAGAGUGACAGGGAAAGAGAAAUAUAUUUGACAAGGUUUCAAGCAAUAGUGGAAAAACAAAAGCUGUUCUUGAUACACUUCAUUUACAGCAUGAUAAAAAUCAGACUCUGGAAGUACUGAUACCGAGCAUCAACCAUCUAUCCCACAUCUAUUCAUUACUUCAGGGAAAGAUAUAUGCUACUAGAGAAAACAUGCCCUCAGGUGAGGUGGUUUGGUUGUUUUUCAUAGAGGAUACUUACCGGAUCUUCUGCUCUGUAGCUCCGGACUAGAAGUCUAGUCACAGAAUUAUCUUUAGAGGGUGUGUGUUUUCUUACAUCUUUAUAGAACAGGACCAAAUUUGGUCUGAGAAGCAUAUUUCUCUGACAAGCUGGAAAAUUAAGUUUUAACAAGUGGAUUUAAAGUAAUAUACAUAGGCAGACAAAAAAAAAAAAAAAAAGGCAAUAUUUCUGAAUAUUUCUCUAAAUCUAGUGGACCCAGCUAGUAGUUUAAUCCAGAAUACUCUAAACUUUGUGAUAUUACAGCUUUUCUAUUAGCUGAUCAUUAUUUAUCCUGACCAGAGCUAUAUCUUUCUACAGUGUUUGGUUUGCAUAACUCAAAAUAAGGAUUUUCAUAGUGCAAAAAGGUCAUGGAAAUGCCUUUUCAGUGGUUAAAACUGGCAAGAAUCAAAGGAAAUUCCACGGCUCGAUUAGGAUGCUGAGCAUGUGUGCCAGCCCAGAUGAACAGUGAUGCUUCUGGCCAUGCUUUAUGUAAGGAAAGACUUUAAAGGAGCUUCUCAUACACAUUUUCUACACUAUUUCUCAUUUUCUCAUACUCUAUAUUCUACUAUUAUUAAGACUACUAAAAAACUGACCUCUGUAAAGGCAUUUUGCCAUAAAUGAGAUCAUAAAUGUUUCUCAGGCCUGUUACUGUUUAUUUUACAUGUUCAUGUAUCUCUAACCAUAUUAUAUACAUAUAAAGCAGCUAUCACCAUAUUGACAAAUAGUCUUUGGAACCACUGAGUCUGGAACUGGUCCACUGAGCCAAACAGUUCUAGUUGUAUCUUUUCUUCCCACACAGUUCAGCACUAAGGAAAGCAUUUGCAACUUACACUUAUAGCAGAGGGAUUCAGAAAGUUACAGACAAUUUACAGGCACCAUUUUCAAAGGCAGGCAAGUAGGUGGCAAUAAAAUAGAGGGUUGGAGUGAAGAGAAGGUGGCUGGCAGAUAUGUAAUGGCUGCAGCUGCCAGCAAGGCUGGAGGGAGGAUUUGAGUCUGCAAAUAUGCUGGCUGGUGGCUGGAAAAGAAGAGACAGACAGAAGGGGAUGCAGAGCUCCAAAGAAGGUUGAUGGGAACUAGAACUCUAUUAUAAACUAGAAACUAGGAAACUAAGCUCUGUUUAAAAUAUUUAUAGAAUGAUAGGAGCAUAUACUGUAUUGAAACCAAUUUAUCUCUAUUGCUAGACUUGUCAUUGCAAACUGCAAAGUGAUGCUAUUCAUGAAUACACAUUUUUUCUAAAUCUGCUGUUCAGUAUGCUAAGCAUAUCAAUCAGAUGCACCAUUGUCAGUUAAUUAACAUUUGAUUGCGUUAAACAUAGGGUGUUGAAGAGGAGGUUUCUCGUUGAGGGGGUGGGGUAUCAAUGUUUGAGUCCUUUGGAGGGGAGGGACAUGUUAAUGAUUAUCCUGAAUUGGAAGUAAAGUCAAACU
rnacentral:lncRNA from 1 species